rnacentral:sRNA from 1 species
GUAGAGAGCAAAUGGAAUGGAGGGGGUGGCCUAAGGACCAUCAGUAGAACAGGGGCUCCCUGGAGGAGGGGACGAUUGCGCUGUGUCCUGCAGACCUGUUACAUCUGCGAGGAGCAGGGCCGGGAGAGCAAGGCGGCCUCGGGAGCCUGCAUGACCUGUAACCGCCAUGGAUGUCGACAAGCUUUCCACGUCACCUGUGCCCAAAUGGCAGGCUUGCUGUGUGAGGAAGAAGUGCUGGAGGUGGACAACGUCAAGUACUGCGGCUACUGCAAAUACCACUUCAGCAAGAUGAAGACAUCCCGGCACAGCAGCGGGGGAGGCGGAGGAGGCACUGGAGGAGGAGGCGGCAGCAUGGGGGGAGGUGGCAGUGGUUUCAUCUCUGGGAGGAGAAGCCGGUCAGCCUCACCAUCCACGCAGCAGGAGAAGCACCCCACCCACCACGAGAGGGGCCAGAAGAAGAGUCGAAAGGACAAAGAACGCCUUAAGCAGAAGCACAAGAAGCGGCCUGAGUCGCCCCCCAGCAUCCUCACCCCGCCCGUGGUCCCCACUGCUGACAAGGUCUCCUCGGCUUCCUCUUCCUCCCACCACGAGGCCAGCACGCAGGAGACCUCUGAGAGCAGC